UUGAACGCUGGCGGAAUGCUUUACACAUGCAAGUCGAGCGGCAGCGCGGGGCAACCUGGCGGCGAGCGGCGAACGGGUGAGUAAUAUAUCGGAACGUACCCUGUCGUGGGGGAUAACACAUCGAAAGAUGUGCUAAUACCGCAUACGACCUGAGGGUGAAAGGGGGGGAUCGCAAGACCUCUCGCUUUCGGAGUGGCCGAUAUCGGAUUAGCUAGUAGGUGAGGUAAAGGCUCACCUAGGCGACGAUCCGUAGCUGGUCUGAGAGGACGACCAGCCACACUGGAACUGAGACACGGGCCAGACUCCUACGGGAGGCAGCAGUGGGGAAUUUUGGACAAUGGGCGAAAGCCUGAUCCAGCCAUACCGCGUGAGUGAAGAAGGCCUUCGGGUUGUAAAGCUCUUUCAGCCGGAAAGAAAUUGCUUCUAUUAAUACUAGGAGUAGAUGACGGUACCGGAAGAAGAAGCACCGGCUAACUACGU
rnacentral:rRNA from 1 species